rnacentral:rRNA from 1 species
GCAUGCGUGUCAUUAGAUAGUUGGUGAGGUAACGGCUCACCAAGUCUUCGAUAACUACGGGGUCUUAAAGGAUGGUCCCGCACACUGGUACUGAGACACGGACCAGACUCCUACGGGAGGCAGCAGUGAGGAAUAUUGGUCAAUGGGCGCAAGCCUGAACCAGCCAUGCCGCGUGGAGGAAGACGGCCCUAUGGGUUGUAAACUUCUUUUUUACGGGAAUAAUGUGAUCUACGUGUAGGUCUUUGAAGGUACCGUACGAAUAAGCAUCGGCUAACUCCGUGCCAGCCGCGGUAAUACGGAGGAUGCAGGCGUUAUCCGGAUUUAUUAGGUUUAAAGGGUGCGCAGGCGGUCUUUUAAGUCAGUGGUGAAAGUUUGCAGCUUAACUGUAAAAUUGCCAUUGAUACUGGAAGACUUGAAUAUAGUAGAGGUAGGCGGAAUGUGUAGUGUAGCGGUGAAAUGCUUAGAGAUUACACAGAACACCGAUUGCGAAGGCAGCUUACUAUGCUAUUAUUGACGCUGAGGCACGAAAGCGUGGGGAGCGAACAGGAUUAGAUACCCUGGUAGUCCACGCCGUAAACGAUGAUCACUGGUUGUGUGCGAUACACAGUGCGCGACUGAGGGAAACCAUUAAGUGAUCCACCUGGGGAGUACGUUGGCAACAAUGAAACUCAAAAAAUUGACGGGGGCCCGCACAAGCGGAGGAACAUGUGGUUUAAUUCGAUGAUACGCGAGGAACCUUACCUGGGCUUAAAUGUAGAGUGCAUUAAUUGGAAACAGUUAUUUCCUUCGGGACUCUUUACAAGGUGCUGCAUGGUUGUCGUCAGCUCGUGCCGUGAGGUGUCGGGUUAAGUCCCAUAACGAGCGCAACCCCUAUCGUUAGUUGCUAGCAGGUAAUGCUGAGGACUCUAACGAAACUGCCGGUGUAAACCGAGAGGAAGGUGGGGAUGACGUCAAAUCAGCACGGCCCUUAUGUCCAGGGCUACACACGUGUUACAAUGGCCAGUACAAUGGGCAGCUACCUGGUGACAGGAUGCUAAUCUCCAAAGCUGGUCUCAGUUCGGAUCGAAGUCUGCAACUCGACUUCGUGAAGUUGGAUUCGCUAGUAAUCGUAUAUCAGCAAUGAUACGGUGAAUACGUUCCCGGGCCUUGUACACACCGCCCGUCAAACCAUGGAAGCUGGGGGUGCCUGAAGUACGUUACCGCAAGGAGCGUCCU